AAUUACCCGCUGCGGUGCAAGAAAUCCCCUGGAUGGUGGCAGGCGCUUUGGGAGGCCCGUCGUGCUUUCAAGUGAGAGAAAAGGAAAACAAGAGCGAGAGAAAAAGAACUGAGCCUCGGAUUUUCAGGAACUGCAGUCCGAGUUCCCGGCCGAGCACCUUGGCUGCCGGGGGCCCCCCUCCUCCCUGGGGACACAGCUGUGAGCGAUCUGAGCCCGGGGACCCCAGGAGAACUGUGGGGGAGCUCCCCGCGCGGAAAUCCCCAGGGCUCGCAGGCAGGGCCCAGAGCGCGUCUCAGGUGAAAGCCGCUUCGCCCACGGGCUCCGCCGGCUGUAAGAAUCCCCGGCCCUCCCGGCCCUCCCCGGCCCUCCCAGUGACGACACCGGCCUCCCCUCCUCUGGGAGCAGGACGUGCCCAGCGCCCUCCCCACUUCCCCUCAGGAAGUCACAGGGGGCCGCAUACUUGGGGCACGUCCCUGCAUGUCCGGCUCCAAGAACAAAGCUCUAGGGAAUAUAGGAAAUUAGAUGACUUAAAGCCAAUGGAGCAGAGUUGGCGGCGCCCGCUCGUCGUUGUUUCCCUGGCUUGGCACAGGCACGGGCGUCGGCCCGGUUCAGGCGACCAGCCCGCAGGACACGAUCCCUGAACACCUGUACCUAAGGGAAGCGUCCCUGCCGUCGCCUUUCUUAGGGCUGAAGAGCCAGAUGCGUCCUAACAAAACUAGGAGAGAAGUCGGGUUGCUCGUGGAAGGGCGUUUCUACGUCUGCUAAUCUUCACCGUCUCCACAAUUUCUCAGAUUUUAAGGUGGACCCCGGGUCUCGAGGCCUUGCUCCGCUGCAGAACCGUUGCUCUCCGCGCACGCACGACGGGAGACGGGGCACCCGGGGUGACCACGAACAGCUGGUGUCCCCGCAGCAGACUUUUUUUUUAAGAGCGAGCAAUGUGGAAGCCUCCUCUGAGGACUCGCCUUCAGAGCUCCAGCCAGUUGAGUGUCCAGCACAAGCCAAGACCUGAAGCGAGACGGAGGGGCGGGAGCGAGAGCGGGGCCAGGGCUGCAGCUCGCUGGCCUGGGGGAUGCCCUGCGGCGGGGCUGCUGCGGCCCUGGGCUCCGGAAGGCUUCUCUCUUCUGACCUUCUCACUUUACGAAAGGGAGGAUGCGGGCCCGGGGGCGGGGGACCGAGCUGACCCCGUAAGUCGCAGGCUUCCUCUCCGCCCCGGGCCCACGAUGUCUCUAUGACACCCCGUCCCUUCUUGUCCCUGCGCCCACUUCUCCUGGGCUGCGUCUCCAGGCCUGGGAACAGGGCGUGCUCCUCUGUGUGGCCCCUUGUGCCCACCGGCCUGUGGUACAGAAAGGGGGCCCAGCAGACUCCUGUGACGCGGGACCGACGUGCGCUCUGGAGGGCUCGCGGGUAGUGGGAAGACAGGCCUACCUGCCACUCCUGCGGGCUCCCCCCCCCCGCCGGGCAUUUCACCAAAUACAUUUUCAGCUUAUACCGUGA